ACGGGUGCGUAACACGUGGGCAAUCUGCCUUAAAGUGGGGGAUAGCUCGGCGAAAGCCGAAUUAAUACCGCAUGUGAUCAGGGGAGACAUCUUCCCGAAAUCAAAAGUGGCGCAAGCUACUGCUUUUUGAGGAGCCCGCGGCCUAUCAGCUAGUUGGUGAGGUAGCGGCUCACCAAGGCUUUGACGGGUAGCUGGUCUGAGAGGACGACCAGUCACACUGGAACUGAGACACGGUCCAGACACCUACGGGUGGCAGCAGUCGAGAAUUUUUCUCAAUGGGGGAAACCCUGAAGGAGCGACGCCGCGUGGAGGAUGAAGGUCUUCGGGUUGUAAACUCCUGUCAUUUGGGAACAAGUGUCGGUACGUAACUGCUACCGGCUUGAUAGUACCAGAAGAGGAAGGGACGGCUAACUCUGUGCCAGCAGCCGCGGUAAUACAGAGGUCCCAAGCGUUGUUCGGAUUCAUUGGGCGUAAAGGGUGUGUAGGUGGCGCCGUAAGUCGGGUGUGAAAUUUCGGAGCUUAACUCCGAAACUGCAUUCGAUACUGCGGUGCUUGAGGACUGGAGAGGAGACUGGAAUU
rnacentral:rRNA from 1 species